UACAGAGGUCUCAAGCGUUGUUCGGAUUCAUUGGGCGUAAAGGGUGCGUAGGCGGCGUCGUAAGUCGGGUGUGAAAUCUCGGGGCUCAACUCCGAAAUUGCAUUCGAUACUGCGGGUCUCGAGUCCGGGAGAGGUGAGUGGAAUUCCUAGUGUAGAGGUGAAAUUCGUAGAUAUUAGGAAGAACACCAGUGGCGAAGGCAGCUCUCUGGGACGGUACUGACGCUGAGACGCGAAAGCGUGGGGAGCGAACAGG
rnacentral:rRNA from 1 species